CAAUUACUCCCUCCGUCCCAAAAUUCUUGUCUUAGAUUUGUCUAAAUACGGAUGUAUCAAGUCGUGUUUUAGUAUUAUAUACAUUCGUAUCUAGACUAAUUUAACACAAGAAUUUUGAGAUGGAGGGAGUAUCAA
rfam:Triticum aestivum genome assembly, contig: Triticum_aestivum_CS42_TGACv1_scaffold_094082_2AL